rnacentral:rRNA from 1 species
GACGAACGCUGGCGGCGUGCCUAAUACAUGCAAGUUGAGCGAUGAAGAUUGGUGCUUGCACCAAUUUGAAGAGCAGCGAACGGGUGAGUAACGCGUGGGGAAUCUGCCUUUGAGCGGGGGACAACAUUUGGAAACGAAUGCUAAUACCGCAUAACAACUUUAAACAUAAGUUUUAAGUUUGAAAGAUGCAAUUGCAUCACUCAAAGAUGAUCCCGCGUUGUAUUAGCUAGUUGGUGAGGUAAAGGCUCACCAAGGCGAUGAUACAUAGCCGACCUGAGAGGGUGGUCAGCCACACUGGGACUGUGACACGGCCCAAACUCCUACGGGAGGCAGCCGUAGGGAAACUUCGGCAAUGGACGAAAGUCUGACCGAGCAACGCCGCGUGAGUGAAGAAGGUUUUCGGAUCGUAAAACUCUGUUGGUAGAGAAGAACGUUGGUGAGAGUGGAAAGCUCAUCGAGUGACGGUAACUACCCAGAAAGGGACGGCUAACUACGUG